rnacentral:piRNA from 1 species
UGGGAAGUAGCACAAUGGGUCUGCUCC